ACACUCCUACGGGAGGCAGCAGUGGGGAAUAUUGGACAAUGGGCGCAAGCCUGAUCCAGCCAUGCCGCGUGAGUGAUGAAGGCCCUAGGGUUGUAAAGCUCUUUCACCGGUGAAGAUAAUGACGGUAACCGGAGAAGAAGCCCCGGCUAACUUCGUGCCAGCAGCCGCGGUAAUACGAAGGGGGCUAGCGUUGUUCGGAUUUACUGGGCGUAAAGCGCACGUAGGCGGACUAUUAAGUCAGGGGUGAAAUCCCGGGGCUCAACCCCGGAACUGCCUUUGAUACUGGUAGUCUUGAGUUCGAGAGAGGUGAGUGGAAUUUCGAGUGUAGAGGUGAAAUUCGUAGAUAUUCGGAGGAACACCAGUGGCGAAGGCGGCUCACUGGCUCGAUACUGACGCUGAGGUGCGAAAGCGUGGGGAGCAAACAGGAUUAGAAACCCUAGUAGUCCCA
rnacentral:rRNA from 1 species